UACGUAGGGUCCGAGCGUUGUCCGGAGUUACUGGGCGUAAAGGACGCGCAGGUGGCGGUGUUGGCCCGGCGUGAAAGCCCCCGGCUCAACCGGGGAGGGUCGUCGGGGACCGCACCGCUUGAGGGCGGUAGGGGCUGGUGGAAUGCCUGGUGUAGUGGUGAAAUGCGUAGAGAUCAGGCGGAACACCCGUAGCGAAGGCGGCCAGCUGGGCCGUCCCUGACACUGAGGCGCGAAGGCGUGGGGAGCGAACGGG
rnacentral:rRNA from 1 species